rnacentral:tRNA from 1 species
GCGUUCGUGGCUCAGCUGGAUAGAGCAACGGCCUUCUAAGCCGUGGGUCGCGCGUUCGAGUCGCGCCGAACGCA